UACGUAGGGUGCGAGCGUUAAUCGGAUUUACUGGGCGUAAAGCGUGCGUAGGCGGCCCGUUAAGACAGGUGUGAAAUCCCUGGGCUCAACCUAGGAAUUGCGCUUGUGACUGGCGGGCUCGAGUACGGUAGAGGGGGGUGGAAUUCCUGGUGUAGCAGUGAAAUGCGUAGAGAUCAGGAGGAACACCGAUGGCGAAGGCAGCCCCCUGGGCCUGUACUGACGCUCAUGCACGAAAGCGAGGGGAGCAAACAGG
rnacentral:rRNA from 1 species